UAGGGAAUCUUCCACAAUGGACGCAAGUCUGAUGGAGCAACGCCGCGUGAGUGAAGAAGGUUUUCGGAUCGUAAAGCUCUGUUGUUGGUGAAGAAGGAUAGAGGCAGUAACUGGUCUUUAUUUGACGGUAAUCAACCAGAAAGUCACGGCUAACUACGUGCCAGCAGCCGCGGUAAUACGUAGGUGGCAAGCGUUGUCCGGAUUUAUUGGGCGUAAAGCGAGCGCAGGCGGAAUGAUAAGUCUGAUGUGAAAGCCCACGGCUCAACCGUGGAACUGCAUCGGAAACUGUCAUUCUUGAGUGCAGAAGAGGAGAGUGGAAUUCCAUGUAUAGCGGUGGAAUGCGUAGAUAUAUGGAAGAACACCAGUGGCGAAGGCGGCUCUCUGGUCUGCAACUGACGCUGAGGCUCGAAAGCAUGGGUAGCGAACAGG
rnacentral:rRNA from 1 species